UACGUAGGGUGCGAGCGUUGUCCGGAAUUACUGGGCGUAAAGAGCUCGUAGGUGGUUUGUCGCGUUGUUCGUGAAAACCGGGGGCUUAACCCUCGGCGUGCGGGCGAUACGGGCAGACUUGAGUACUGCAGGGGAGACUGGAAUUCCUGGUGUAGCGGUGGAAUGCGCAGAUAUCAGGAGGAACACCGGUGGCGAAGGCAGGUCUCUGGGCCACUACUGACGCUGAGAAGCGAAAGCGUGGGGAGCGAACAGG
rnacentral:rRNA from 1 species